AGAAAGUUAGUCUAACUAAGACAGCUGAUUUCGGCUCAGCAAAUUAUAGUAAACACUAUAGCUUUCUU
rnacentral:tRNA from 1 species